rnacentral:lncRNA from 1 species
AUGGAACAUUCUGGAAUGCUGUUUGUGAUGAAGUCACACAGUAGUUCGUUAGCUUCUGUCCGGUGCUCUGUGGCUGGCAUCAACCCAGGUUUCCCAUCGGUCCUCCUGUGGGUUGGGCAGACACUGACAAGCCUGCUCUCGGUGCAUGGGGCAGGGGUAAGGUGGGCUGCCUGCCUGGAGGGAGGGUGUCUGGGUGGGGAGCUUGUAGCCAGACCUUGGACCACUGGCUGGAUGGCUACAAUGACUGAACCUGAGUCUGAUCUCAUUUCAGAAUGCUCUGCAUAUAGUCUGCAGUACCUAAUGUACUUCUGCAUAAUGUUUAAUUGGGGAUCUGUUCCUUCCAGGUUCUGUUCCAGCCUGACCACUGGAGAACUGUUGCUGCACGACCUCAAGGUUUCUGCCCCUCUUGUUGAGGUCCUGGUGUCUGCAGGGUUUGGAAAGAUCUCGUUGGCUGCUGAGGUGUUGCUGUGCUGGUGGAGUGUGAAGCUCUCCAGUUUUACACCUGCAAGCCCUCUUGCACUCCUGAUUGGUUAGCAAGGAAGUGGGACGUCUCGUUGGAACUGGGGGGAAACCAGGCCAAGUCAAUUCAACCCCACGACUGUGUUUUGAUGUGUAUAUAUAAAUCUUCAAAAUAAUGCUUGUCCUAUUCUUUCUUGGUGGUAGUAAAUCAGACUUGUUGUAUUUGGCCAUUUUUCAAUACUGAACAGUGUGAUAUUUCCUGUCAUCUCAUUAUGUAGUUAUUCUAGGUUUGACUGAUUUCUCACUGGCUAUAGAAAGUUGACUGGCUAAUUUUAAGCCAAUUUGUUUUUGAAUUGAUGUGAGCAGCAUGUUCAGUCAUUGACACAAUGGGAUAGAUAAUAGAUGGAAUAAAUUCAGUUUAACGCUGCUACCAGUUCCUAGGCCGUUAUUGAAAAAUAAGAGUUUGUUCUUAACGGACUUGCCUAGUUAAAUAAAAUAACAGUAACAUGCAAAAAAUAACAGUCAAGGAUUACACAAAGAAAUGAGAAGAGAAAAAAAGUUAUCCACAUUAUUUCAAAUACAGACAUUCAGUUUUGUAUACAUUUCCAAGACUAAAUAGUUUUCCAAAUCAGAUUUUUCAUUAAGAAAUGGGACUUUCUUCAAAUGUUUUGUGUAUGAAAUGUUUUCCUAAUAAAAUAGAUUUGACACUCGCAUUCAAUUGUGGAAUCAGUGUAGUUUCAAUGGUUGUAUGCAAUUUGAAGCCAAGAUACAGUUU